ensembl:lncRNA
CUGACCUCAGAAGUGGGGUAGCUGAAACUCCAGUACUUUGGCCACCUCAUGUGAAGAGUUGACUCAUUGGAAAAGACUCUGAUGCUGGGAAGGAUUGGGGGCAGGAGAAGAAGGGGACGACAGAGGAUGAGAUGGCUGGAUGGCAUCACGGACUCGAUGGAUGUGAGUCUGAGUGAACUCCGGGAGUUGGUGAUGGAGGAGGAGGCCUGGCGUGCUGCGACUGAUAGGGUCGCAAAGAGUCGGACACGACUGAGGGACUGAACUGGACUGAACUGUUCCUAACCCUGGUACUUUUGUUGCCUUCAUUUUCUCUGGCAAUCUCCCUUUGGCAACUGACAAACUUGACCACUGUCUCCUCCAGAUACUCAAUUUCCUUGAUAUUAACAACCCAGGGAGACUUCAUGCUCAUCCAACUUGUUAAAAUUCUCUUUCAUUUUUUUUCUGCCUGUUCCUCUUCCUCUGACAGCCCUUCAAAUCACUGCUUUCCAAACCUUUUCAUUGAAAUACCAUUAAUGACAAAGGUGAUAAACAUUUACUUCCCCAGUCACCACCCACAUUACACGUGUAAAUGAACCUUAAGUGAUUCAUGUCAAGGACAAAUUGAAUAGCCUCAUUUUAGGUUUUAAGUUGCUCCAAAUUUUGCAUUGUUCUUCAUAAAUAUUCACAUGCUGUACUAAAAUUUCAAAUUGGUCACAAGUUUAAGUUUUCUUCUCAGAUUACCCAGUACAGGUUUCAAGAAAACACACCUAUCACUUAUGCCACAAGUAUGAAUUAUUUAGUGUCUUCUGUGUGCUAGGCACUAGGGAUACAAUGUGUACAAGACAGACAUCGCCCAGUGCUCAUGGAGCUUUUGCAGCCUGGAGCAGGAGACAGACAAGGGGCGCUGUUUACAAUUCAGAUCUACUCACUGAAAAGAAUGGAUGAAUGAAUGGAAGAAAGCAGAGUAAAGUGGGGAGUGCUAAUUACGUCAGUAAAGAGAUGGCUUCUCUGACAUGUAGGAUGUUUUUCCUGUGGCUUCACACCCCUGAAACCCUUGUCAUUCCUUGCGGGUCUUUUCAGGAUGUUGAUCCACUGUCCUCUUUCACUUACUCUGCCAUUUCCCUGGAUAUCUUACGUAUGUCCAGCAGACUCACCUCAGUCAGUAAGGGCAUAAAUGAUUUGUACAUGAUUAAUGAACUUCAUUUCAUUAACAUAUACAGGUUAUGGCACUUAAUGCAAUUUCAGAAUAUUCUUUUCAGAUACAUACCGAACAUUAACAAAAUCAGAUCAUAUUUUUGGCCACUGAGAAAGUCUCCACAAAGCCAAAUCAAAACAAAUCAAAAGACUGAAAAAAAAAUGAGUAUCUACACUAACCACUAAUCUGGAAAACAAAAGCAAAAAGAAAAACAAGAAAAGCUCCUGUAUGUUUGGAAGUUAAAAGGCAGACUUAAAAAUAUACCAUGGAUCAAAACAUUACAACAUGACUCAUCAAGUAUUUUGACUUGAAUAUGACUAAAAAUACUAAAUAUCAAAACUUGCAGGAUGCAGAUAAAAUAUGAGAGGAAUUUCUGCUCCUAAACACACGUCAGAAAACAGCAGGGAGUCACUUAUCUGCACAACCACAUCAGGCAAUCGGGGAGCAAGCUGUCUGUUCUCUUCCCGCCAUCUUGGGCCCUGUGGGGGCCUGCUGGGAACAGGACUUUUAAAACGACGAAUACGUCUGGCAGGCUGUGGUCCAAGGCCAUCUUUGCUGGCUAUACGCAGGGUCUACGGAGCCAGAGGGAACACACAACUGUCUUGAAAAUUGAAAGUGUAUAUGCUCGAAAUGAACUGAAUUCUAUCUAGGCAAGAGAUGUGCUUAUGUGUACAAAGCAAAGAACACACACAGUGAUGCCUGGGGGAAAACCUAAUGAAACCAGAGUAAUCUGGGAAAAGAUAACUCACGCUCAUGGAAACAGUGGCAUGGCUCCUGCCAAAUUCCAAAGCAACCUUCUUACAAAGGCCAUUGGACACAGAAUCCAUGUGAUGCGGUUCUCUUCAAGGAUUUAAACUUAAGGAAUGAAAUCCAAAUAAAAAGACAGAAAAAACAAAAAUAAGGCCAGAAAUUAAAGAAACAGGAAAAAAUAACAGAGGACCAACAAGAGCAAAAUGUGGUUCUUUGAAAAAGAUUAAUAAAAUUAAUAAGCCACUGGUAAAACUAAGUAGGAAAAAAAAAAACAGAAGAUAGAGAUAACAGUAUUAGAAAUAAAAAGGAAAUAUCACCACAGGUCCUAAGACAUUUAAAAUGUGAAAGAUACUAACAGCUUUGUUCCUAUCAACUAGGUGAAAUAAACUGGGGGAGGCAGUUGUCCAUGCAUCUCUUGUGUUCCUCUCUGUCUUAAUGAGUACGUGCAAGAUCCUGGCUACCAGUUACCUGAGCCAUUUCUCAGGGCAGCAUGUACAGUGGGCAAGCAUGAGAUAUGAGGCAGUCGCCCUCCACAGAGGACAAGCAGGCUUACUGCUCGCUGUGAGAGCGGUGGAUCCCUUCAGCUCAGUGCUCCUCAGGUGUGACACAGACCGUUGCAUACACGCUGAAAGUAGUGCUGCUUGCUGUGUCACGAGCGAUAAACCCUUUUUUCUGAUCCAGGAGUUGUGUCUUCUGCCAGAAUCCAUCAAACAGUAACAGGCAUUGUAUGUGGGUAAAAUCAAAUCCCAGACCUGACAAAAUGGAUAGGAGGCACUUACAGUGAUUCCGAAGAUACCAUCAAAUUCUCUCCGCUCAAAGCAAAUGUAAACUGGACCAAACAGUCAAAAACUAUCACUCAAGGGCUCCGGAAAUUGAC